rnacentral:rRNA from 1 species
GACGAACCGAGCGAACGUUGUUCGGAAUCACUGGGCUUAAAGGGCGCGUAGGCGGGCGGCCGCGUCCGGGGUGAAAUCCCACGGCUCAACCGUGGAACGGCCUCGGAUACGGGCGGCCUGGAGGCGGGUAGGGGCAGGCGGAACUGUGGGUGGAGCGGUGAAAUGCGUUGAGAUCCACAGGAACUCCGGUGGCGAAGGCGGCCUGCUGGACCCCGAACUGACGCUGAGGCGCGAAAGCCAGGGGAGCGAACGGG